CAGGCGUCGAGGGCAACUCCGAGGUGUUUGGUCUCGAGCAGCCGGGCACCUGGCAGUGCCUGGGACUCCGACAGGAGGGCGGGCCUGGGGUGGAAGGCCACGCUGCCUCCCGGAUACGCGGACGCACAUGGUGGGCCUGGCCACGCGACGCGAACGGAGUCCCACUCGCGGUGCUGAUUCAACGCGGGAACGCACACCCCGGGAAGAAGAGCCGGGCCCGUCUCUGGACAACAAGGGCCGUUUCACGAACGGGUCUGGGUGUGUGCAAAGCUGGGGCUCCUGCCCACGCCCGCGUCAGCUCAAAACGCGCAGACACCAACCAGGAGGACGGGCUCCCGGCCGGCGGCGGGUGCUCCCAGCCCCUCCUCACCACCUGGCCCCCGCUCAGCCCUGGUCAGGGUCUCCAUUGCCCCAUCUCGCUCUCUCUCUCUCUCUCUCUCUCUCUCGCCGCUUGCUUUCGCAGAUGGAAGCCUCGUGAGGUCAGCAGCUCAUCUGCACACUCAGAGUUGAGUUGAUUCCCCAGCUUGCGGCUCAAGCGCCCUCGGCUCGUGAACAAAUGAACGAGCGAGAGCAGAAUAGCGAAAAAGGACACGGGUGCGGGUGUCACGCAUGGGGCGUGCGAACUGACAAGUCAUUUUCUUUCCCUUCUCUAUCCGGAACCCUGGGGCCGUGAGCCCAGCAAGAGACGGCUCCCCGAUGCCCCCGCAUCCUCCCGGCCCCCACUGGACAGCUGAGACCCAGCAGACGAGAGGAGGGCAGCAGGAAACCCAAAGAAGUGCCACCAGCAUUGAGAAAUGACUUCAUCUGCAGACCUCAUUCUAGGGCCCUUCCUCCUCCCCGUCUGCCUCGAGGAAAAGAUCAAGACACUUCACAAACAGUCCGAAAGGAAAAAAAAAAAAAAAAUUCUAAUGGUGGAUAAAUAUUUUAUCACAGAGACUUAAUGCAGCAGUGUUCGACUCACCCAAGCCAUCUAUCUGGAGAUAUACAACUUUAAAAGGCUCAGGCUCUUGGAGAACAUUUUAUUAAUGACCUGUCUAGUUAGGAGGAGGGGGGGAGUUUAGGUUCAAAAAAUGCAUUAAUACCAGCCGGGUACAUGAGAGGAAGAAAGGGGUCGGGGGAAGGAAGCGUGAUAAAUUUUUAACACGCCCUUAAAAAAGUCCACACUUAGAGGAGGAACAAAUUUAUUACUAAUUAUGCAAUUAUUUCAUUUGGUGGUGUGGGG